rnacentral:rRNA from 1 species
UUGCCUACGGGGCGCAGCAGUCGGGAAUAUUGCGCAAUGGAGGAAACUCUGACGCAGUGACGCCGCGUAUAGGAAGAAGGUCUUCGGAUUGUAAACUAUUGUCGUUAGGGAAGAAAAAGGACAGUACCUAAGGAGGAAGCUCCGGCUAACUACGUGCCAGCAGCCGCGGUAAUACGUAGGGAGCAAGCGUUAUCCGGAAUUAUUGGGUGUAAAGGGUGCGUAGACGGGACAGCAAGUUAGUUGUGAAAGCCCUCGGCUUAACUGAGGAACUGCAACUAAAACUAUUGAUCUUGAGUGCAGGAGAG